rnacentral:rRNA from 1 species
AGACCCGAAACCCGGUGAUCUAGCCAUGGGCAGGUUGAAGGUUGGGUAACACUAACUGGAGGACCGAACCGACUAAUGUUGAAAAAUUAGCGGAUGACCUGUGGCUGGGGGUGAAAGGCCAAUCAAACCGGGAGAUAGCUGGUUCUCCCCGAAAGCUAUUUAGGUAGCGCCUCGUGAAUUCAUCUCCGGGGGUAGAGCACUGUUUCGGCUAGGGGGCCAUCCCGGCUUACCAACCCGAUGCAAACUGCGAAUACCGGAGAAUGUUAUCACGGGAGACACACGGCGGGUGCUAACGUCCGUCGUGAAGAGGGAAACAACCCAGACCGCCAGCUAAGGUCCCAAAGUCAUGGUUAAGUGGGAAACGAUGUGGGAAGGCCCAGACAGCCAGGAUGUUGGCUUAGAAGCAGCCAUCAUUUAAAGAAAGCGUAAUAGCUCACUGGUCGAGUCGGCCUGCGCGGAAGAUGUAACGGGGCUAAACCAUGCACCGAAGCUGCGGCAGCGACACUCAGGUGUUGUUGGGUAGGGGAGCGUUCUGUAAGCCUGCGAAGGUGGCCUGUGAGGGUUGCUGGAGGUAUCAGAAGUGCGAAUGCUGACAUAAGUAACGAUAAAGCGGGUGAAAAGCCCGCUCGCCGGAAGACCAAGGGUUCCUGUCCAACGUUAAUCGGGGCAGGGUGAGUCGACCCCUAAGGCGAGGCCGAAAGGCGUAGUCGAUGGGAAACGGGUUAAUAUUCCCGUACUUGGUGUUACUGCGAAGGGGGGACGGAGAAGGCUAUGUUGGCCGGGCGACGGUUGUCCCGGUUUAAGCGUGUAGGUGUGUGUUCCAGGUAAAUCCGGUUCACUUUAACACUGAGGCGUGACGACGAGGCACUACGGUGCUGAAGCAACAAAUGCCCUGCUUCCAGGAAAAGCCUCUAAGCAUCAGGUAACAUCAAAUCGUACCCCAAACCGACACAGGUGGUCAGGUAGAGAAUACCAAGGCGCUUGAGAGAACUCGGGUGAAGGAACUAGGCAAAAUGGUGCCGUAACUUCGGGAGAAGGCACGCUGACAUGUAGGUGAAGUGAUUUACUCAUGGAGCUGAAGUCAGUCGAAGAUACCAGCUGGCUGCAACUGUUUAUUAAAAACACAGCACUGUGCAAACACGAAAGUGGACGUAUACGGUGUGACGCCUGCCCGGUGCCGGAAGGUUAAUUGAUGGGGUCAGCGCAAGC